GGCCGACCAUGAAUCAGACAGAUCAACAUACCUGCCCCAGAUUGAACCAUGUUAUCCCUAUCUGUGUGAACAUCUCCAACCCAAUGGCACCUCGACAUGUGGCAAAAAUCCACAUGCUAGAAUUAAAUCCUGCGAUGUCGGUUCACAUUUUUGAUACAAUGCCUGACACUAGAUCCUCCUAUCGAUAUGAUAGCUCGAAAGUGACAAAAUGACUGUUCGACCGUACUCCAACAAAAGUAGUGUC
rnacentral:lncRNA from 1 species